rnacentral:lncRNA from 1 species
UUUACAGCCUGCCUUUUUGCAAGGGAGAUGUCUGGGACAUCGUCUUCGACAUCCUCAUCAGAUUCAGAGCCUCACUUUCUUUCCUCUUCCUGACCUUUACUUUACUCCAAGACUUGGAGGGACCUAUACCAAUAACCUUUUUCUCUCUUCUAGCUGUCCUUAUUUCAGCCACACUCUUCCUUUUUCUCAGUUUCUUAGCUACACUUGUUUUCACAAGAUUGAC